AAGACCUUGCGCUUUUGGAGCGGCCGAUGCCUGAUUAGCUUGUUGGUGAGGUAAAAGCUCACCAAGGCUUCGAUCAGUAGCUGGUCUGAGAGGACGACCAGCCACACUGGGACUGAGACACGGCCCAGACUCCUACGGGAGGCAGCAGUGGGGAAUUUUGGACAAUGGGGGAAACCCUGAUCCAGCCAUGCCGCGUGAGUGAAGAAGGCCUUCGGGUUGUAAAGCUCUUUCAGCCGGAACGAAACGGUUACGGUUAAUACCCGUAACUACUGACGGUACCGGAAGAAGAAGCACCGGCUAACUACGUGCCAGCAGCCGCGGUAAUACGUAGGGUGCGAGCGUUAAUCGGAAUUACUGGGCGUAAAGCGUGCGCAGGUGGUUUUGCAAGUCAGAUGUGAAAUCCCCGGGCUCAACCUGGGAACU
rnacentral:rRNA from 1 species